rnacentral:misc_RNA from 1 species
GUGAAUCAUCGAAUUUUUGAACGCAAAUUGCACUCUCUUGGAAGAGAAUGCGUAUUUGAGGGUGAGCCUAAAAAAAAUCGUCAUAGUCGCUGUUUCGCGGUGACUUUCGUCGGAAAUUGGGUCAUCUUAAACCUUUGGGUUUUAAGCGGCUUACAAUUUUCUUUAGGAUUCCACCAACGAUUCUAAGAUUUACUUCUUACACGUUUAAGGUAAACGA